AGCGAGAUCCGCUCUUCUGAUUGGCUGAGAGCGGCCCCACUCACUUCCUAUGGGAAUGUGACAGAAACACAGCAGAUACACGGUGCUGGGUUAGAGCGGGACCGGGACCGGGACCGGGACCAGACGGACCAGAACCAGGACCAGGGCCAGGACCAGAACCAGAACCAGAACCAGGAGCAGAACCAGGACUAGAAUCAGGACCAGGACCAGGAGCAGAACCAGAACCAGGACCAGGAGCAGAAGCAGGACUAGAAUCAGGACCAGGACCAGGAGCAGACCAGAACCAGGACCAGAACCAGAACCAGGAGCAGAAGCAGGACUAGAAUCAGGACCAGGACCAGGAGCAGAACCAGAACCAGGACCAGGACCAGAACCAGAACCAGGAGCAGAACCAGGACUAGAAUCAGGACCAGGACCAGGAGCAGAACCAGAAUCAGGACCAGGACCAGGAGCAGAACCAGGACCAGAAUCGGGACCAGGAGCAGGACCAGAACCAGGAGCAGGAGCAGAACCAGGACCAGAAUCAGGACCAGGACCAGGAGGAGGACCAGAACCAGGACUCACUCAGCAGGGGGUUUAAAGGGGAGCAGGAAUACAUUAUAACACACAGCCACAGAUAUUUCUGCGACUCCUUAAAGUCUCCACGCCAACACUCUGGACCCCCCAUGAAUAUUUCUCUACAUCCGCCCCCUGUAUCAGCAAUCAUACUCCUGGUCGUCAAAUGUUGAAAGACUGAGAAUGAGAAGAGACGACUCAGUGCUAAUAUUCAUUCAUCGUAUUUAUUCAUUGUAUCUGAUAGGGAUGCUCGUUCAUAAGUAGUUUAUAUAAGAAAGUCUGAGAUGUAGUGAGCAAAGAUGGUUGAUUAAAUAUUCGAUAGAUCUGAUCUAAUCCAAUCGAACUGUUUGUUAACACAAAAGUUAAUUUAGUUUUUUCUUGUAAAGUUUAUCAAAACACAUCACAAACAUAUAAGAGUUCAAUGGACCGAUCAUUUAUCGACUGUAAUCUAAUUAUUCCAAUAAUUCAUAAUAGUAUAAAAUUCCUGUUAUCGGCUGAGAAUGUAUCUGCCCGAUAAUUAUUCUGCAUCCCCAGUAACAAAUAUUAUUAAUGUUAGUUUAUUAACUGGCCCCUGACCUCCUGUCAUUGUUUAAAAGUGGCCCCUGGCUAAAGCAAGGUGGGUGUCCCUGCAUGGUCUAAGGCCUUUAUGGCCUGGUAUUUAAUCCCGUCAUGCUCAUUAAGUAACACCUGGCCAAAACAUACUGCAACAACAAAUAAUUUAACAAAUGAAUUUAUUGUAAAUAACUGGCAGUGAAUGAACUCAAAUAGAAGCAGACUUUAAACCA